ensembl:lncRNA
GACACACGUUGCCACCCUCCGUCAUCGUGUGUCUGACUAUGGUGAGCGUGUUUGGCUGCAUGGUGCUGACGUGUAUGGGCCAGAAAGACAUGCUGUUGGAGAGGACAAGAGGAAGAUGAAGGAGGGACACGCAGCAUGGACCUGAGCCCUAGGACCUGAGCUCCAGGACUACCUGACAUGAUGACUCCUUGCUGUCCCCAGUCCACCUGGCCAUGCUGCUGCUCUAGUUUCAACUUCCACCUGACUGUGCUGCUGCUCCAGUUUCAACUGUUCUGCCUUAUUAUUAUUCGACCAUGCUGGUCAUUUAUGAACAUUUGAACAUCUUGGCCAUGUUCUGUUAUAUAUAUCUCCACCCGGCACAGCCAGAAGAGGACUGGCCACCCCACAUAGCCUGGUUCCUCUCUAGGUUUCUUCCUAGGUUUUGGCCUUUCUAGGGAGUUUUUCCUAGCCACCGUGCUUCUACACCUGCAUUGCUUGCUGUUUGAGGUUUUAGGCUGGGUUUCUGUACAGCACUUUGAGAUAUCAGUUGAUGUACGAAGGGCUAUAUAAAUAAAUUUGAUUUGAUUUGAUCAGACCAGGACUGUGUCAGAUACAGCCCUCCCCAGGACCACUAAUCCAUUGACCAUGCUAGUAGCACACAGUGUGAAAUGAAUCAUCCCAAUGUGUGUAUAUAUGAUCAUCACAUACUGUCCCUGCUACUGCUAAUAUGUAUCAGUAAAAGUCA